UCUUUUAUUUUUAAAUCACAAGCACACUGGUAUUAGGGGUCUCUGGUAGCCCCCUGUCUCCCCUUGUUUUGUUCCUCUCUCCCCCCUUCCUCUUUCCUGUUUGAUAUAUGCUGGGAAUGAGGUAGGUGGUUGAGUUUCAGUGGGAUAAACAAUCUAAUAAAUAUUGCCUUUAAAAAUAGUCAUCUAUGUUAUUAUCUAUCCUUUUACAACUGAUUAUUAGUAUGUGUAUAAUAUAUCUGAACUAUUUUUGUGAAAUAUCUCUCUGACAUAUUGUUUAUAUGUUUUUCCUUUUGCUACAUGUGGGGGCUAGCAUUAAGAGUGGAGCUAGCAAACGGGAGACUCACCAAACUGUGUUUCUGUUGGUGUGCUUACACAGGUGUGAUAACGUUUUUAUUUACCUUUCUUAAUAUACAUGUUACAUGUCUUGUUUGCCUGUUUGAUAUAUGCUGGGAAUGAGCAUUAAGAGUGGCGCUAGCAAACGGGAGACUCACCAAACUGUGUUUCUGUUGGUGUGCUUACACAGGAAAUAAAUAUCACGUCUCAGCAAGUUGUCCACGGGUCACAUUUAUUACACAACGCAGAAGUUACACCGGUUACAUAAGCAUGGUUCCUGUCGCUGCCUGGUUCCUCAUGCUGUAGAGGAGUGCUGUUAUUAAUCCUGGGUACAACAUGUGGGCCGUGUUGCGGUGGUCACCAGCCAGUUGUGCAUUGUUGUUGUAUCCUGCUGCUGAGGAUCUAUGGCUGGGCAGUUGUUGCAUUGGUUAGGUUAGGUUGUUGGGGAUGAGUACUUGCAUGUGACAGUGAGAGGAUUGGCCGCUGUGGAAAAUCCUCAACCAAUGCAUGAACAAUGACAUAUUCCUGGUCAACUUUGGGGUACAUGAAGUGACUAUUCAUUGUCAACAUUAAAGCACAAAACAGCCGCUGGGUAAAUUAGUUUUGCACAUCUGCUAUAAAAGGGGCCUACACGAAUCAGGAUAUGUCAGAUGUUAACCCCCAUUGCUGAGUACGAUCAAACACGGCUCUCUGUCUGGACCAAUAAGGUAAGACCUUGUUUUGUUUUAUUUUAUGGUGAUUUCAUCACACUUUUGGGUGGAUUCAUUCACUUAGGUUUGAUAUCCUUAAUUAAUUUCAAGUGUGGCUGCUGUUAGGUAAAAAAUUCACACUCAAGUUUACCUUGGACUUCGGAGUUGUGUAUAUGUAAGUAUCUUUUUAUUCAACAAGCUUGUCAGGCUCACUCACAACUUGGCAGAUGACAGUCAAGCAAAGUUAAACACAUCACACAAGGUUUAUAUAGAUUGAAGUUAGCGUUUCUCUCACGCCAAAGCAUUAUUACAGCAGGGAUAACCACAUAGUGGGUUUCCCACGUCUGAGGUCAUCUUGCUAUGCUUUUUUGCAACAUAAUGCAUCAGCAAGGCAGAAAAGAAGGACUACUAGUUCUACUUAUCAGCCCUCGCAUACGCACACACAGAAGGUACACUUUUAAGCACACAUACAGAGAUAGAAAUGUCAGCACUCAAGAAUCAAAGAUAUACAGAGACAGAAAAGCCAUGUUUCAGCACACAAAGGCAUAUGAUUGACACACAUACAUACUUGAUUAUAGUCAG
ensembl:lncRNA